rnacentral:rRNA from 1 species
UACGUAGGGUGCAAGCGUUGCCCGGACUUAUUGGGCGUAAAGAGCUCGUAGGCGGUUCGACAAGUCGGGUGUGAAAACUCCGGGCUCAACCCGGAGACGCCACCCGAUACUGUCGUGACUGGAGUCCGGUAGGGGAGUGGGGAAUUCCUGGUGUAGCGGUGAAAUGCGCAGAUAUCAGGAGGAACACCGAUGGCGAAGGCAGGUCUCUGGGCCAUAACUGACGCUGAGAAGCGAAAGCAUGGGGAGCGAACAGG